rnacentral:rRNA from 1 species
AACGAACGCUGGCGGCAUGCCUAACACAUGCGAGUCGAACGAGACCUUCGGGUCUAGUGGCGCACGGGUGCGUAACGCGUGGGAACCUGCCCUUAGGUUCGGAAUAACUCCCCGAAAGGGGUGCUAAUACCGGAUAAUGUCUUCGGACCAAAGAUUUAUCGCCUUUGGAUGGGCCCGCGUUGGAUUAGCUAGUUGGUAGGGUAAAAGCCUACCAAGGCGACGAUCCAUAGCUGGUCUGAGAGGAUGAUCAGCCACACUGGGACUGAGACACAGCCCAGACUCCUACGGGAGGCAGCAGUGGGGAAUAUUGGACAAUGGGCGAAAGCCUGAUCCAGCAAUGCCGCGUGAGUGAUGAAGGCCUUAGGGUUGUAAAGCUCUUUUACCCGAGAUGAUAAUGACAGUACCGGGAGAAUAAGCUCCGGCUAACUCCGUG